GAUGAACGCUGGCGGCGUGCCUAAUACAUGCAAGUCGAGCGAACAGAUGAUGAGCUUGCUCCUCUGACGUUAGCGGCGGACGGGUGAGUAACACGUGGAUAGCCUACCUAUAAGACUGGGAUAACUUCGGGAAACCGGAGCUAAUACCGGAUAAUAUAUUGAACCGCAUGGUUCAAUAGUGAAAGACGGUCUUGCUGUCACUUAUAGAUGGAUCCGCGCCGCAUUAGCUAGUUGGUAAGGUAACGGCUUACCAAGGCAACGAUGCGUAGCCGACCUGAGAGGGUGAUCGGCCACACUGGAACUGAGACACGGUCAGACUCCUACGGGAGGCAGCAGUAGGGAAUCUUCCGCAAUGGGCGAAAGCCUGACGGAGCAACGCCGCGUGAGUGAUGAAGGUCUUCGGAUCGUAAAACUCUGUUAUUAGGGAAGAACAAAUGUGUAAGUAACUAUGCACGUCUUGACGGUACCUAAUCAGAAAGCCACGGCUAACUACGUG
rnacentral:rRNA from 1 species